AGGCUUAACACAUGCAAGUCGAGCGCCCCGUAAGGGGAGCGGCAGACGGGUGAGUAACGCGUGGGAAUCUACCCUUUUCUACGGAAUAACGCAGGGAAACUUGUGCUAAUACCGUAUAAGCCCUUCGGGGGAAAGAUUUAUCGGGAAAGGAUGAGCCCGCGUUGGAUUAGCUAGUUGGUGGGGUAAAGGCCUACCAAGGCGACGAUCCAUAGCUGGUCUGAGAGGA
rnacentral:rRNA from 1 species